AUGAACGCUAGCGGCAGGCUUAACACAUGCAAGUCAGGGGCAGCGAGGGUAGCAAUACCUGUCGGCGACCGGCGGAAAGGGUGAGUAACGCGUGAGCAACAUACCCGUAUCAGUGGGAUAAUACCAGGGAAACUUGUUCUAAUAUCGCAUAAUAUUAUUCAGAGGCAUCUUUGGAUAAUUAAAGUUACGGCGGAUACGGAAUGGCUCGGCGUGACAUUAGCUAGAUGGUAGGGUAAUGGCCUACCAUGGCGAUGAUGUCUAGGGGUUCUGAGAGGGAGGUCCCCCACACUGGAACUGAGACACGGUCCAGACUCCUACGGGAGGCAGCAGUGAGGAAUAUUGGACAAUGGAUGGAAAUCUGAUCCAGCCAUGCCGCGUGCAGGAAGGCGGCCCUAUGGGUUGUAAACUGCUUUUGUACGGGAGCAAUAAGGUCUACGAGUAGAUUGAUGAGAGUACUGUACGAAUAAGCAUCGGCUAACUCCGUG
rnacentral:rRNA from 1 species